rnacentral:rRNA from 1 species
CCUACGGGGGGCAGCAGUGAGGAAUAUUGGUCAAUGGCCGGAAGGCUGAACCAGCCAAGCCGCGUGAAGGACGAAUGUGCCAAGCAUUGUAAACUUCUUUUGUCAAGGGAUAAAAUCAGGCUCGAGAGCCUGACCGAGGGUACUUGAUGAAAAAGCAUCGGCUAACUCCGUGCCAGCAGCCCCGGUAAUACGGAGGCUCCUAGCGUUAUCCGGAUUUAUUGGGUUUAACGGGAGCGUAGAUGGGUUGUUAAGUCCGUUGUGAAAGUUUGCGGCUCAACCGGAAAAUUGCAAUUGAUACUGGCAGUCUUGAGUGCAGGUGAGGUAGGCGGAAUUCGUGGUGUAGCAGUGAAAUGCUUAGAUAGCACGAAGAACUCCGAUUGCGAAGGCAGCUUACGAAACUGCCACUGACAUUGAUGCUCGAAAGUGUGGGUAUCAAACAGGAUUAGAUACCCCAGUAGUC